GUUUGAUCCUGGCUCAGGAUGAACGCUAGCUACAGGCUUAACACAUGCAAGUCGAGGGGAAACGAUAUUGAAAGCUUGCUUUCGAUAGGCGUCGACCGGCGCGCGGGUGAGUAACGCGUAUCCAACCUGCCCAUAACUAAGGGAUAAUCCGUAGAAAUGCGGUCUAAUACCUUAUGUGAUCCGAGGAAGACAUCUGAUUUGGAUUAAAGAUUUAUCGGUUAUGGAUGGGGAUGCGUCUGAUUAGAUUGUUGGCGGGGCAACGGCCCACCAAGUCUGCGAUCAGUAGGGGUUCUGAGAGGAAGGUCCCCCACAUUGGAACUGAGACACGGUCCAAACUCCUACGGGAGGCAGCAGUGAGGAAUAUUGGUCAAUGGGCGGGAGCCUGAACCAGCCAAGUAGCGUGCAGGAUGACGGCCCUAUGGGUUGUAAACUGCUUUUGUAUGGGGAUAAAUUGCUCCACGUGUGGNGUAUUGCAGGUACCAUACGAAUAAGGACCGGCUAAUUCCGUGCCAGCAGCCGCGGUAAUACGGAAGGUCCGGGCGUUAUCCGGAUUUAUUGGGUUUAAAGGGAGCGUAG
rnacentral:rRNA from 1 species